GAUGCUGUUGUUUGCAAAAACAUUGUGUAAAUGGAUGCAUUGCGACUAUGUUUAACUGUGAUUUUCCUGACUCUAUGGUCAAAAGAUUGUCUGUGUGUGCAAAAAAAGAUCUGAGAUGAAUUGUUUGACGACGACAAUAACGCUUGCGUGUUUUUGAAAAGCAAAAGAAAAUCUGAAUAUCAAAAUACAUAUUAUUUUCCUGGCGUUUAUUGUCAAGAAAGAAGAUCUCGUUGAGGGAAGGAGCAUUGUGGGCGAAUUGUCGAACGACGAUAACUCUAACGAAAUUUUAGAAAGCAAAAGAGAUGGAUUUGUGAUUUUGAGUAAGGAAGACCAUGCAAGAAUUCGGAAAGCGAAGUUAAAGAAAGGAAAUGGUGCCCUGAUGUAUGCUCGGGGGAAAGAACGUGAUUAUUGGAACUAAACUUUAUACGAUUAUUAAACUAAACAAACGACUAUGCAGCUAUUAAUAUGGAUAUAAAAAUAUUGUUGAAAAAAGUUCCUUAAACAACCGUCGUUGUAAUUAAUAUGUAGAACAUAUUUGUAGUCGUUUAAAUAAAGUGGUGUCACAGUUGAUUUAAUGCCAUUUUAUUUGAAUAAUUUAAGAUAUACCACGAAUCCAUUUUCGAUAAAGACAAACCAUGCAUUAUGAUUAAAUAUUAGACUGGAGAUUUCCAGUUUGUUCAUGAAGUUUUCA